rnacentral:ncRNA from 1 species
CGUCGCAAGGCGGAAUCCGAAGGAAGCCGGAUGUCAAUGUGAGGAACGUUGGCGGGCAAAUCUCUGACCUGACGAACAGAAACCACAUACAAGGCAGGAGUAACCGGGUAAGGUUGCAUAACAAACUGAAGCCCCAAACGACUCGAGGCCAAUCCUGUAGAUGUGGCAGGCAGAUGGAGAGAAAGACU